AGUGAACGCUGGCGGUAGGCCUAACACAUGCAAGUCGAACGGCAGCACAGUAAGAGCUUGCUCUUACGGGUGGCGAGUGGCGGACGGGUGAGGAAUACAUCGGAAUCUACUUUUUCGUGGGGGAUAACGUAGGGAAACUUACGCUAAUACCGCAUACGACCUACGGGGGAAAGUAGGGGAUCUUCGGACCUUGCGCGAUUGAAUGAGCCGAUGUCGGAUUAGCUAGUUGGCGGGGUAAAGGCCCACCAAGGCGACGAUCCGUAGCUGGUCUGAGAGGAUGAUCAGCCACACUGGAACUGAGACACGGUCCAGACUCCUACGGGAGGCAGCAGUGGGGAAUAUUGGACAAUGGGCGCAAGCCUGAUCCAGCCAUACCGCGUGGGUGAAGAAGGCCUUCGGGUUGUAAAGCCCUUUUGUUGGGAAAGAAAAGCAGCAGGUUAAUACCCCGCUGUUCUGACGGUACCCAAAGAAUAAGCACCGGCUAACUUCGUG
rnacentral:rRNA from 1 species